GUAGCUUCUCGGCCUUUUGGCUAAGAUCAAGUGUAGUAUAGGAGCAACAGAAUGUAAAUCAAAACUCAUGAUUGAAAGUUGACUGGAUAGGCCUGUCAGAACAUAUGGCUCUUCAAUUGUGUUUUAAAUUUCAACAGCUCUGUCGGAUCUUCC
ensembl:snRNA U2 U2 spliceosomal RNA